GGCUUAGUAGUGUAGUGGUUAUCACACCAGAUUCUGACGCAGAAUCUUUCUGGUAACCCAGGUUCGAAUCCUGGCUAGGCCU